rnacentral:rRNA from 1 species
UACGGAGGGAGCUAGCGUUGUUCGGAAUUACUGGGCGUAAAGCGCACGUAGGCGGCUUUGUAAGUUAGAGGUGAAAGCCCGGGGCUCAACUCCGGAACUGCCUUUAAGACUGCAUCGCUUGAAUCCAGGAGAGGUGAGUGGAAUUCCGAGUGUAGAGGUGAAAUUCGUAGAUAUUCGGAAGAACCCCAGUGGCGAAGGCGGCUCACUGGACUGGUAUUGACGCUGAGGUGCGAAAGCGUGGGGAGCAAACAGG